AUUUUUAAUACUCCUUCAUUGCUCCCACUAGGUAGAUGAGAAGGCUGAACAAAUUCAAAUAUGAAGACACAGAAGGAAAUAGUCUUAACUAAUGUCGUAGAUAAUCAAUGCAAAUCAGAACUCAUCAACAAUGAACUUUUUAAAAUUGAACUUUUUCUACUUUACCCAUUUGAAUUUCCAAAAUAUUUUUCUUAGCUAAACAGCAUUGACAGUGUAGUGGAAGAGACGUAGUUUUAAAUACUCUUUUAAGAAUUAGAAGCAGUAUGAAAUAAAAGAUUAAUAUGCCAGCACUGCAAUAUUUGAAUAAAGAUAAUUUAUGAUCUUGUUACACCCUCAGUGUGGUUAUUGUCAUUUCCCUGACCAGUGCAGCUACAUUGCUUUGCUCAUCCUGCUGUGAGUCCUUGCAGGAUCCCAGGGGAAGCAUUUUCUUAUCACUGUUGCCAAGGGCAUGGCUUACCAACCCUGCACGAUCGAAGAAGGGAUCUAGUCUGAAACUCAUCCUUCUUACCUACCUGGCCCAGGACAUAACCUCAUCACGGCAAAAAGAAGAGACUAUACUGAGGAAAUUGAUGCAGGUUGAGAACAAUUUAUAUGUCAUUUGGGACAAAUCACCCCACAAAUCAUAGCUGUCCAGCCUCCAUUCCCUUCCUUAACUGAUCUAUUGCUCUAACGAGUCCUAUUAAUAUAAGGUCUUGCAGUGUAAUUAAUCUUCCUCCAGGACACAAGCAGAAUGUCAGCCACAGUGGAAGCCUCACUGUUCUCUUCACACUUUGCAACUCUUACAUACCCUGUUAGUAGGAUUUUAAUGAGUAGAAAUCAUCCGUGUCUUUCAGUGUGAAAAAUUUACAAAAUAAGUUGAGAUUUUUUUUUUUAAAGCAAUUUUUUUUUUUUUUUUAAUACAGAUGAGGGUUAUUUCUCCUCAUUAAGAUGUUAAUGAGAUGCUGACAAGUGUAUGGUAUUUUUAACACAAUUAACUGUAGGGCUAUUUUUGUUCUUUUCAAGCUAUUUUUCAAUGUGCCUUUUAUUUUCUAAGUAGCUCAUCAUGUAAUUAGGGAUAAUGAAGCAGUUCAGUCUCAAAACCAGAAAACCAACCAAAAAAAAAAAGAGAGAAAAAAAGGAAAAAACAAAACAAAACAAAACAACCACUCAAACAAAACAAAACAACAUCCAGACACUCUUGAUCCUUUUGAAAGGAAAAAAAAUGAUAAUUUGUAGGGUUAGAAUAAACAUAUACAGAUUAUAUUCAUAUAUUUCAAGAAAAACUGUUCCUGAUGCACCAUAUUAAGGAUUCUGUUCUGAAGAAUAAGCUUUUCUGUAUUUACCCGUUGAAGUGAGCAGCCACUCGCUGAAAACAAAAGCUCCUGCUGAAGAUUGCUGAAGGCAAAAGAUGGAGAAGCUGUUCUGGAAAGAGAGCUGCAUCAGUCUUUGUCCUUCACCUUUCUCAAGGCUGAACUUAGGGAUGUAAACACCUCUGACCUUGGUAUGCAGGCUUAUCUGGAUCUCCACUUUGCAACUGGACCACCCGGAAGAAUUUAAACAAAGUAACAGAAGUUCACAAUGGCGCAGUGUCAGCUGCAUCUGAACAUAUUUGGGUGUUGCUGGAAUAAGUGAAACUAUUGCAAUGCUCAGUAAAACAAGCUCUGAACACAAAAACUUCUCAUUAAAUUUUGAAGUGGCCAGAGCUCCUCCAAUGCUGCUCCAACUGAUGCCAGUCACAAAAUGACUCUUGAUGCCUAUGGGAGAUGCACUAGUGUCCUGGUUUUGCUAAAAACAAGUUUCUCUUUUGGUGGGUUUUGCCUGUCAGCUAAAGCCUUCAUAUUGGCUGCAUUUUCCUGGAGAACCAGACACAUGUUUUGGUAAACCUAGCAAUGGAAUGCAAACUUAUUGAUAAGCACGGAUGGACAUCUUGCGAGAGGGGCGACGAGAAACAAGUGACCAAGAAACUGACCAACUGUGUAUAACAUUCCAUUCACGUGAAUACUUCAUAUAAAAGUGGGAGAUCACGAGGAUCUCGUCCCUUUCCCUUUUUUCUUAUGGCCGACAUUAGGAGAGGACCUUGCUAGUCGUCCCUGCAAACUGAGGCCUAGUGAGAGACUGAAUCCAGCUCCAAUUGGCUGCAGAGUCUAAUCCAGGACUUUGGUUGCCGGCUCUGCAGUUGCUGAGACUUUCAAGAUUGGUUUUGUAUAUUUUGUAUUAUUUUCUCUAUUCUUAUUAGUAGCAUUAGUAAAACAUUGUUGAUUUUUCCAACUCUCUUCUCUCUGUCCUUCUUUCCCUCCCGAUCACCUGUCCUGAGUGGGAAGGGGGGGGGAGGGAGGGGCAAAAGGGGGAAGUAGGGGGGGAGAGGGGGUUAACAAUACAUCUGCCAGGGUUUUAUUGUCACCCCACAAUCUUAACCCUCGACAACUAGACUAGCCUGUAUCCUUUCUAUAUACUCACUGUUUUUCAG